UACGGGGGAGGCAAGCGUUGUUCGGAAUUACUGGGCGUAAAGGGCUCGUAGGCGGCCAACUAAGUCAUACGUGAAAUCCCUCGGCUUAACCGGGGAACUGCGUCUGAUACUGGAUGGCUUGAGUUCGGGAGAGGGAUGCGGAAUUCCAGGUGUAGCGGUGAAAUGCGUAGAUAUCUGGAGGAACACCGGUGGCGAAGGCGGCAUCCUGGACCGAUACUGACGCUGAGGAGCGAAAGCCAGGGGAGCAAACGGG
rnacentral:rRNA from 1 species